ensembl:lncRNA
UUUAAACAAUAAUUAUUAAGACCUUUUUCGUAAGGUUGUUUUCCCUUGAUUGCCAGCUGUUACUGUUUUUAUCUUCAUAUCUUUCAUAUUUGUCCACCUAAACAAUGCUUUAAUGAUACAGUUUGAGAAGUUUGAUAUGAAUUUAUCCAACUGACUUGAAAAUGAAACUGACAACUGUCCUGUAAUCUUACACAGAGAAACCAAAUCCUGCGUCUUUGCCUUGACAGACGCCUAAAAUGGCUCGAGCUGUGGCAAAGGAGAAGCUCCCACACUCAUCCGAUGCAGACCGUUGUGCUCUGGACAAUGAAGUUCCCGCUUUCAUGUUCAGACCUAUCAGUGCACCUGCAUGUGAGCUCCCAAGUCCACCACCUGCUGAUGCCAGCUUUCAGUCGAAGGACACAAACAAGAUCAUUCACCCAGAUUUGAAAAAUGAUCGUUCAUCCCUGGAUGAUGAAGUGGCGUUUUUCAUGUGUCCUACUGAUGUUCCUCUGCCUCCGAGACCUCCACCCACUGCAGAGUUACGUCUCUGCAGAAAGCGCAGAUAUUCUGCUGUUUUUUCUGUGGAGGAUGAAGAGGAACAUUUGAUGCCUAAACGCAUGAGGCUGAUGAGUUCUGAUGUUCCAGUUUCUUCAGUUCCUCCACCUGCUGAUGCCAGCUUUCAGUCAAAGGACACAGACAAGAUCAUGCAUCCAGAUUUUAAAUAUGAUUGUUCAUCCCUGGAUGAUGAUUUGGCCUUUUUAAUGUCUCCUCUGCCUCUGACACCUCCACCCAUUGCAGAGUUAGGUCUGGGCAGAAAGCGUAGAUAUUCUGCUGUUUUUUCUGUGGAGGAUGAAGAGGAACCUUUGCCUCAGCCUAAACGCAUGAGGCUGAUGACUUGGGAUGUCUCUAAGUCUCCAGCUGCUGAAAAGAAGUAUGUUUGCUUUACGUGUCCUGAAGAUAAGAGGUCUGAGUUACCUCUCAGCUCCCCCCAAGGCCAUCCACCAUCACCGGUCAAUAAUAAUGACACUGACCAGUGUACCAUUCUGCUGCCUCCUGAAAUCCCAGUACCUCCAAGUCCUGCCCCUGUUGGAGUUCUAGAAACUGUUGA